rnacentral:rRNA from 1 species
UACGUAGGGUGCAAGCGUUAAUCGGAAUUACUGGGCGUAAAGCGUGCGCAGGCGGUUUUGUAAGUCAGAUGUGAAAUCCCCGGGCUUAACCUGGGAACUGCGUUUGAAACUACAAGGCUAGAGUGUGACAGAGGGGGGUGGAAUUCCACGUGUAGCAGUGAAAUGCGUAGAGAUGUGGAGGAACACCAAUGGCGAAGGCAGCCUUCUGGGCCAACACUGACGCUCAUGCACGAAAGCGUGGGGAGCGAACAGG